GACAGAGGAUGCAAGCGUUAUCCGGAAUGAUUGGGCGUAAAGCGUCUGUAGGUGGUUUAUUAAGUCUACUGUUAAAGAUCAGGGCUUAACCCUGAGCAGGCAAUAGAAACUAAUAAGCUAGAGUACGGUAGGGGCAGAGGGAAUUCCCGGUGUAGCGGUGAAAUGCGUAGAGAUCGGGAAGAACACCAACGGCGAAAGCACUCUGCUGGGCCGAAACUGACACUGAGAGACGAAAGCUAGGGGAGCAAAUGG
rnacentral:rRNA from 1 species